CAGGUACUGAACCGGAGUGUAUGCAUGCCACAGUAAUCCUGCUCCAUACAUAGGGGAGUUCUGUCUUGGACCAUCCCAACAGGGGGAGGAAUCUGGGUUUGCCAGGCUCUGAAUGAAUAGCAAAAGGAUUCUGGAUGAGAGUCUGAAAUGAGAUCAUGGGCUGUUGAAAUGCGUGAUAAGGAAAAACCUGGGAGAAGAGUGUGGAAGAGGACUAUUCCUGGCCUGAACAGAAGGCUUGUGCCACCUGUGGGAAGGGAACAUCCUGGUAGUGUCAACGGGUUCAGUCUUACAAGAUGCGAGUUAUCUUCUCCAGGCUGCCCAGUCUUCAACUGAACCAGGGAUUUCUUGCAGGAUUGAGAGCCCUUUCAGGCUUGCUCCUGAGCUAAAUGCAAACUGGUACAGCACAUCGGAUGCCAGUUUACAUCAGGAUUUUUGUGAAGAACCAGCAGUUGAGGGUAAUGUUGCACUUCAUGCUGAGGUAAGAUGAACUUCCACAUAAGAGUAUCUUGGGUGCUUUCUAGAUACCGUCUCUGCACUGCUUUCAUUGUCCCUCACAGUAAACACACAAAAUGCUCUGUAUUCUGAAAAAUGUUGUCUAAUAGAGGAGCUUUCCAUUGCUAAAGCACCUUGCACCUGCCUUAGCUGUGGAAACUAGAAACAUCCAUCUUUAAUUUAGAAAUUAUGGCACCCGCAGAUUCAUGGUAAUCUACAGAAGCGCUGGCUCCUUGCGAAAUGGCAGCAGAACUUUGGGUGCGGCUUUCUGGACGGAUCACUAGCAGUCCAGGUUUAGCCUGAGUAGAAGAAAUUCAACGAAUACAAAGCUUGACUACAAGGACUGAAGCAUCAGUCAGAGGCAGUAUACAGAAUGGGCAGCUGACCUUAAGAAACACUUGCCAUAAAUCAGUAUUGCUCAUCUGUGCUAGUGCUGUAGAUUCAGAAGCCUGAACUUGUUUAAUGUGAUCAGUGUUUUUGACCGUGGCUUAAAAAUUGUUUGAAGCCUACAGUAAAACUUUGUCAGUCUGCUGUUAUCACUGAGCUAGAAAGAGUUCAUACAGAUUCAUAGGUCAGAAAUUCAGUUGUGUAGUUCAAAACAGUUUGAAUGCUUGCUAAAAGCACACUUUUUAAAUAAGGAGGGGGAACUGAGGAGGUCAGAGAAACUCUAUAUUGAAUAUAGUGAAUUUUAUUUUAUUUUUUUAGAAAGGAGUGAUUUUCGUUGUACUUUAAUUUACACAGACCUAAUUCAUUAGAAAGUGCGAUGAAGGAUUCUGGUCUCCAUUCAUAUUUUCCUCAGGUUUCUACUGGCCCCCCCUUAAACCACUAGCAUUGAGCUCCUUGUGGCUUUUAAUUAGCUAUUUUUCUAACAAUUUUAAUUGUUAGAAAACAAAGUUUCCCUAUUUCCCCCUGCUUUCUCUGUGGCAGAGGCCUUCCCUUUAGCUAGAGCUGCCCCUCGUUCCCUGAUCCUUGGAAUAAAUGUCAGGGUGGUUAAGGCCAGCAGCCCUCCUACCCCUGCGGCAGCUCUGGUCUGUGGGCAGCGGUCGGUUAUGGUUGGCAAGUCAUGCUGACAGCUGCUGCUGAGGUGGUCACGAGGGGCAGGGGACGGGGCAGAGGGGAACUGCUGGUCUUGUUUGGGGUCUCAUUUGCUUUUCUGCCAGACAAUAUAUCAGUCAUACACACUUACUUAAUGAACUGCUCUAUCAGGCGAGACAGACCUGAGGAUUGCCAGAAGUGUUAAACUUGGUGAAAAAGGGUAAGAACAUGGCAAGUAUAUUGUUCUCCUGUUACAGAUUUCCACAUUCUCACUCUGACAUUCGUUUACAACUAAAAGGAGGUCAGACAUCUUUAUUACUGUUGCUGUGGUAAAGUUUUCAGAAUAUUAUUUGCAGUAAUUACAGACCUAUUAUUAAUUUUAGAACUAUAUACCCUGUGUUGUAGCCUGCUCCCACCAUGAAUGUUAUGAUGUGUGAGCUUUCUAGACCACCUGAUAUAUGUCAGAGCAAAACAGGCCCUGAAGCACCCAAGCCCCUUCUUCAAAUCUGAAAUAGAAACUACCUUCAAAGCUAAGCCGAGGUCAAAAAACCACUGAGCUUUUGAUAUCAUUUUAUCACCCAGUGCUUCUAACAUUUCCAGGUAUUAAAAGAUUCUCCGUUGCACUUCAAACAGCUUUUUCUAAUUGUGCUAAACCAUUCUGUGUUAUUGUCAUAGUUAGGUCAUCAUUUAUCUGCUCAGCCAGAUCAGCUGCAGGUAUGCUGAAGAGCAUAAAGCCAUGUGAGAUUGUGCAUGUAACCUCCCUGCAUUAUCAAAAAUGACUUAUUUUCAAUAUCUUUGCCCUGGUGUAGCCAGUUACUAAUCCACAGGGGAUGACUCCUUCCUAUUUCCUGGCACUGUAUGUAUUAUUUAAUAAGCAUUGUUUAGGUGGAAUCUUGAUACAGGCUUUUUGGAAAUCCAUGUCCAGUAUGUUGAUUGUCCAUUAAACUGCUCUCUCUUACGUGACAAUUCCCUUAAAACAGCCUGUACAAGGUAGCUCAGUGCAGGCUAUUUUGUCAUUUCCUAUCCGUCUAUUGCUGUAGGUGGGAUUUUAUUUUUUUUUGCAUAAAACUGAUCUGAAAAAAUGUACAAUGACUCUCUGUCCUGGUUUCAGCUGGGAUAGGGUUAAUUUUCUUCUUAGUAGCUGGUGCAGUGCUGUGUCUGGGAUUUGGUGUGAGAGUAGUGUUGAUAACAACAGAUGGUUUUUAGUUGUUGCUGGGUGAUGUUUAUACUAAGUCAAGUAGUUUUCAGCUUCUCAGGCCCUGCCACGGAGAGGGCUGGAGGGGCACAAGAAACUGGGAGGGGACACCUGACCCGAGCUAGCCAAAGGGAUACUCCAUACCACAGAAUAUCAUGCUCAGUAUAUAAGCUGGGGGCACUCAGGCAGGGCCUCUCAAUCGCUGCUCAGGGCCUUGCUGGGCAUUGGUCAGCGGGUGGUUUUUGCAAAGCAGUUGCACUGUGCGUCACUUGGGGUUUUUUCCCUCCCUUCCCUUUGGAUUUUAUUCUUCUUCCCUUCUCCCUCCUUUUCAUUAUAAUUGUUGUUAUUAUUAUUAUUUUCCUAUUGUAUUUCAAUUAUUAAAUUGUUCUUAUCUCCGCCCUUGAGUUUCACAUUCCUUCUCAAUUCUCCUCCCCACCUCUCUGGGGAGGGGGUGGGGGGUGAGCGAGUGGCUGCGUGGUACUUAAGUUACUGGCUGGCGAUAAACCACGACACUUUGUUAUCCUUAAUGUGUUUCCAUUGGCAGGGAUCAAAGCAGUAAAAGACAGGCUGAAAUUGGACCCAGAAGACAAACAGUCCACGCCACAUCCUCUAAGU